rnacentral:tRNA from 2 species
GCUCGUGUGGCGGAAUCGGCAGACGCAGCGGACUUAAAAUCCGCGGGAUUCCAAUCCAUGCCGGUUCGAGUCCGGCCACGAGCACCA